CCAAUAGCGUAUAUUAAAGUUGUUGCAGUUAAAAAGCUCGUAGUUGAAUUUCGGGAUUGGCGCAUCGGUCGUGCCUUACGGGGUAUGAACUGGUGCAGUCAAUUUCUCACCUUCUGGAGAACCGCGAUGUCCUUAAUUGGGUGCCGCGGGGAACCAGGACCUUUACUUUGAAAAAAUUAGAGUGUUUAAAGCAGGCAUUUUUGCUUGAAUACAUUAGCAUGGAAUAAUAAAAUAGGACGGCAUGGUUCUAUUUUGUUGGUUUCUAGGACCACCGUAAUGAUUAAUAGGGAUAGUUGGGGGCAUUAGUAUUCAAUUGUCAGAGGUGAAAUUCUUGGAUUUAUUGAAGACUAACUACUGCGAAAGCAUUUGCCAAGGAUGUUUUCAUUAAUCAAGACCGAAAGUUAGGUGAUCGAAGACGAUCAGAUACCGUCGUAGUCUUAACCAUAAACUAUGCCGACUAGGAAUCAGACGAUGUUAAUUUUUUAAUGACUCGUUUGGCACCUUACG
rnacentral:rRNA from 1 species